rnacentral:rRNA from 1 species
GAUGAACGCUGGCGGCGUGCCUAAUACAUGCAAGUCGAGCGAACAGACGAGGAGCUUGCUCCUCUGACGUUAGCGGCGGACGGGUGAGUAACACGUGGAUAACCUACCUAUACGACUGGGAUAACUUCGGGAAACCGGAGCUAAUACCGGAUAAUAUAUUGAACCGCAUGGUUCAAUAGUGAAAGACGGUUUUGCUUUCACUUAUAGAUGGAUCCGCGCCGCAUUAGCUAGUUGGUAAGGUAACGGCUUACCAAGGCAACGAUGCGUAGCCGACCUGAGAGGGUGAUCGGCCACACUGGAACUGAGACACGGUCCAGACUCCUACGGGAGGCAGCAGUAGGGAAUCUUCCGCAAUGGGCGAAAGCCUGACGGAGCAACGCCGCGUGAGUGAUGAAGGUCUUCGGAUCGUAAAACUCUGUUAUUAGGGAAGAACAAAUGUGUAAGUAACUAUGCACGUCUUGACGGUACCUAAGCAGAAAGCCACGGCUAACUACGU